rnacentral:rRNA from 1 species
GAUGAACGCUGGCGGCGUGCCUAAUACAUGCAAGUCGAGCGAACAGACGAGGAGCUUGCUCCUUUGACGUUAGCGGCGGACGGGUGAGUAACACGUGGAUAACCUACCUAUAAGACUGGGAUAACUUCGGGAAACCGGAGCUAAUACCGGAUAACAUGUUGAACCGCAUGGUUCAACAGUGAAAGACUGUCUUGCUGUCACUUAUAGAUGGAUCCGCGCCGCAUUAGCUAGUUGGUAAGGUAACGGCUUACCAAGGCAACGAUGCGUAGCCGACCUGAGAGGGUGAUCGGCCACACUGGAACUGAGACACGGUCCAGACUCCUACGGGAGGCAGCAGUAGGGAAUCUUCCGCAAUGGGCGAAAGCCUGACGGAGCAACGCCGCGUGAGUGAAGAAGGUCUUCGGAUCGUAAAACUCUGUUAUUAGGGAAGAACAAAUGUGUAAGUAACUAUGCACGUCUUGACGGUACCUAAUCAGAAAGCCACGGCUAACUACGUG